UCUCCGUAGGUGAACCUGCGGAGGGAUCAUUACAGAGUUCAUGCCCUCACGGGUAGAUCUCCCACCCUGUGUUAUUAUACUUUGUUGCUUUGGCAGGCCGCCCGCGUGGGCUACCGGCUCCAGCUGGUAAGUGCCUGCCAGAGGACCCCAAACUCUGAAUAUUUUAUUGUCUGAGUACUAUAUAAUAGUUUAAAACUUUCAACAACGGAUCUCUUGGUUCUGGCAUCGAUGAGAACGCAGC
rnacentral:misc_RNA from 1 species